rnacentral:snoRNA from 14 species
GGGCGAUGAUCGAAAUCUUGUGCAGCGGCCGAGGCGUUUGUGCUGGACGUGGCCUGAAUAAGGCUGUAACCCAACGUUCCGCCUUUCGCCAGAAGAUGGAUGCUUUGCGCAAUGUCUGAGCCU